GUUANCCGUACGAGCGCACCCCUUAUCCUUAUUUGCCAGCGCGUUAAGGCGGGAACUAUAGGGAGACUGCCGGGUGAAACCCGGAGGAAGGCGGGGACGAGGUCAAGUCAUCAUGGCCCUUAUGGGUAGGGCUACACACGUGCUACAAUGGGAAGUACAGAGGGAUGCGAAAGCGCGAGCUGGAGCUAAACCCUUAAAACUUUUCUUAGUCCGGAUUGGAGUCUGCAACUCGACUCCAUGAAGUCGGAAUCACUAGUAAUCGCGAAUCAGAAUGUCGCGGUGAAUACGUUCUCGGGCCUUGUACACACCGCCCGUCACAUCAUGGAAGUGGGUUGCGCCAGAAGUGGUUAGUCUAACCUUUGGAAGACGAUCACCACGGUGUGAUUCAUGACUGGGAUGAAGUCGUAACAAGGUAGCCCUAGGGGAACCUGGGGCUGGAUCACCUCCUU
rnacentral:rRNA from 1 species